GACGAACCGUGCGAGCGUUGUUCGGAUUCACUGGGCGUAAAGGGUGCGUAGGUGGUGGGGUAAGUCGGAUGUGAAAGCUCGGAGCUCAACUCCGAAAUGGCAUUGGAAACUACCCUGCUUGAGGGUCGGAGGGGGGACUGGAGUUCUCGGUGUAGCAGUGAAAUGCGUAGAUAUCGAGAGGAACACCAGUGGCGAAGGCGAGUCCCUGGACGACUCCUGACACUGAGGCACGAAAGCUAGGGGAGCAAACAGG
rnacentral:rRNA from 1 species